AGGACGUUUCCAUAGGUUUUCAUCGCAUUACAAGCUGUGCAAGUGCAUGCCGCACGCCAGUCAUUUAAAUAUUACGUGUAAACAUGCCGCCGACAAAAGUUUGCCAACAAUAAAAUCACGUAUUGUUUUGUCUAAAACAUUUCAAUCAAAUUAAACUUCCAGUGCUGCAAAGUGUAAUAAAGGCGAUGAGUUUUUUUUCCCCGCCAUGCUGCGAAUCACAAUGACAAUACCAACAGAUUUCUAACACAGUGAUGAUGAUGAAAACGGUGUAACAAAGUGAACAGUCAAUAAUAUUGGACCCCCGUGCGUGUGCAUUAGAGUUAUGAAAUGUUCGGGAGGCAUCCAAGGUGACCCUAUCUAUUCAGAACGGUUCGUUCGGAUCAACAAGUCCCAUUCAAGGGUAUUGUGCGUAGCGGACGGCGCGGAAUCGGGAGUCUAUUGUGCAACGAUACCCUCUCGGUGGAUUUGCCAUCGAUGGCUUGCAGGGGGCCAUUGUAAUUUGGCACUAAACUUUAUAUUCGACAAUAUUGUAUAGAAAAGUACACAAAGCUCAGAAGAAGACAACCAGAAUGACAUAUCGACGGCAUAUACAUACACGUAUAACUACAUUUUGAUGACGAUAAAGGGACGACGAUAUAAAAGACCCAUUCAAAAAAAAAUCCAUCAAUUUCGUCUCCAGACUUCAAUAAAUAUUAAUUCGGCAGAUUAUAUUCCAACAGUGAUUGAAAAAAAUACAAAUAUAGAUUUUAUUUGAA